CUGGAUGGGCGGAGAGCCGCUCCCGGCGCGAGCCGGGGGAGGAAAGUCCGAACUCCAAAAAGGGGCGCGAUGCCGUGUAACCCGAAAGGGAUGCACACGGGCGGCAGGCUUCAAAGCCUGUUGACGGACAGUGCCACAGAAAACAAACCGCCUCCGUUCCGAAAGGGAUGGCGGCAAGGGUGAAAAGGUGCGGUAAGAGCGCACCGCGCCGGGUGCAAAUCCGGCGGCACGGAAAACCCCAUCGGGAGCAAGGCCAAAUAGGGGACCUGGGAGUGGCCCGCUCCGGGCGCCGGUUUGCCGCAAGGCGAGCCGUUCCGCCGGGUCCCGGGUAUCGGCCGCUUAGACAAAUGGCUCUCUCCUCCGCAGCAAUGCAGGGCAGACAG
rnacentral:RNase_P_RNA from 1 species